AAAAAAAAAAAAAAAGAGAGAGAGAGAGAGAAAAAAAUAGUACAUCAAAAAAAAUAGGAUUGAUUGCUAUGUAGGAAAAUGCUGUUAGCACCACCGUUUCCUGCCAUUAAGGUAGGACAGUCCUACCCAAAGGCUUAUAGAGUGGCAAUGAUUUCUUCGGGCGACAUCCUUUAUUGGAUUAUGCGUUUGGGAUCGAGUUAGGCAAGCUUUUGAAUGCAAGAUGUUCUGUGUCAGCUCUCGAGACAAGAACAUGUUGCAUUCAAAAGUGUGCCUAAGUCUAUCCCAGCUACAUACAGUAAGAUCCCUAAUAUCUGGGAUUUAACUAACUGGCACGCUCUACUAACCAGAAUUUCCGGGCGGCCAGCCAGACAUGGGGGACGGGGAGGGGAAAGCUUGCACGCAGCAGCCACUGCCACCACCCACUACCCUGUCCUGCUGCUGCUCUGCGUGAGGCUGCCACCACCCCCCAGCCCCUGCUUGGCGUGCGGCCACUGCCACCACACACUACCCUGCGCUGUUUGUGCUCAGCAUGCAGCCUCCACCACACCGCCCCUGCCCUACCCCCCUGCCAGGUUAUUUCUGAUAAUCAGAAUUUUUACAUAACCAGCAAUCCCCUUAUCCCAGGGAUGCCAUAUAACAGAGAUUUUACUGUAAUUGGUCGAAAAUCCUUGCCUCUUGUGUAAUUUCUGGACCACCACAGCUACAAUAUCACUCCUGAGAUAUAGAGACAGAUAUUGUCCAUCAACUGUGCUCCUCUGACUCAAUUCAACCUCCAGAGAGGAGAGUCUUGUGUUCUGUUCUUUUCUCCCCCCAAGUCUCCGGCAGAUCCUUCUCAUAUAACUUGCUCUUUCCUUCAAUAUUCAAAGAAGUUUCUCAAACUUUCUAGCUUGGAGGCAAGUGAAGACUCUUUUUCAGCAUGUUCCAAGAACUUCCAUCAAAUGUUUAGGCAAGUAUCCUUUUCUUUCUCCCUUGGAGGAUGCUGACUUAAUAGGACAAGUUUUCCAUUACUAAAACUGCAAACUUUUAUGAACCAGUCAGUGAUUAUAGGAGUGUCACUUCUCUUCCAGGCAUUUGCAACGGUAAUUCUUUCAGCCACUACAGAAUAAGUGCUCAAUUCCCCGACUCUAAUGUACAUUUUAUUUUCUAACAUAUUUCAUCCUAAGUUCAAGAGAACUGAAACAUCAAUAUAACAAGGUGGUGCAUUUAUAUUUGAAAACAGACUAGUAUAAAAGAUUAGUUUCGUAUUCCACAGGUGAAAGAAAAUGAGGAAGUUCUUCUGAGAAAUGCAAGGCGUCUUUAACAGAGCCGGGAUAUUAUUUAGCUCCUUUGCUAUGUGAAUGGGUGUAAAAAAAAGACCAUGCAAGAAAAUACUCCACUCAACACUACAUGUGUUAAUCUUCUGCAGCAUUCUCUAAAUGGUUUAUGUUGGGACAAUACAGUUACACAAAAAUACGCUUAUUAUUAGAUUAAUGUGUCAAAUAUUGCAGCCAGCAAAACAGAAAGGGGCCCUGCCCUCACUAAACAUUUCUUGUAAAAAACAGUGCUGACUUCACAAUAAAGAUAUUUCAAUAAUCAAAACAAAUUAAAAAGCACUCAUGAAUAGUUUCCUUCAUCUUUAAAAAAAAUAAAAAAAGGUAUUCAGAGGAGAUUGUAACCCAGUUAGUUUAUGGGAAGUAUUGUUUUAUGAGCAGGAAGCACCAGCCUUUCCUGUUUUCAUGCUUUAAAAAA